rnacentral:lncRNA from 1 species
CUCAGACUUCCAUUCCAUCUACACAGUCUCUGGAUGCAAUCCCGAAUUUCCACAUUAUGGUUUUUUUUUGGUUGUUGUUGUUCUUAAGCUUUUUACAUUUUUUAUAUUUGUACUUUAUUUUUUUUUUGAAGGAAAAUUUGAAUUUUAAUUAUUUUUAUGUACAGAAAACUCAACAGUGUACGUUUAACCCAGCUUAGUGGCAAGUUCUUUAGCCUUUGCCUUUUCGAGCUUGGCGAUACGAGCCACAGACUUGGGACCCAGGACACACGCCCCAGUGACGGCGGAUCUCAUCAUAUCUGUCGUUGUAAUUGGUCCUGAUAGCUUCCACCAGCUUAGCCAAAGUGCCUUUGUCUUCCGAGUUCACCUGUGUGAAGGCGACAGUGGUGCAGGUCUUCCUGUGGACUAGACGGCCCAGUCUGGCCUUCCCCUUGAUAAUGCAGUAAGGGACCCCCAUUUUACGACACAGGGCAGGCAAGAAGACAACCAGCUCGAUGGGAUCCACGUCAUGUGCAAUCACCACCAGCUGAGCCUUCUUGUUCUCCACCAAGGUGGUGACGGUGUUAACUCCUGCUUGAAGGACAGGUGGUCUUUUAGUGGGGACAUCCCCUUUGCCAGCAGCUUUCUUCUCGGCCCGGGCCAACAGCCUCUGCUUCUUCUCUUGUUUUGUCUCUGGUCUGUACUUGUGGGCCAGCUUAAGCAGCUGAGUAGCUGUUUGGCGGUCCAGGGCCUGGGUGAACUGGUUAAUAGCAGGGGCCGGAGCCACCUUCUUUCCCUUGGCCUUCUUUCCUUUCGGCAUCUUGGGCGGCGGGAGGAGAGAGCUGUUUAAUCUUUAAAAAAUUAAUUAUAGUAAUCAUUCAGUAAAGUACACAAGUCUCACUUGUAUAUCUCAAUACAUUUUUACAUUUGUGUACAUGUAUUUAACCAUACCUAAAUUAGAAAGUAUUUCCAACAUUCCAGAAGGCUCCUUUGGGUCACCUCCUAUGCAAUACCACCCUCUAACCAGAAAUAACCACAAUUCUAACUUCUGUCACCGUAGAUUAGUUUUACC